rnacentral:rRNA from 1 species
AUGAACGCUGGCGGCGUGCCUAAUACAUGCAAGUCGAGCGAACGGACGAGAAGCUUGCUUCUCUGAUGUUAGCGGCGGACGGGUGAGUAACACGUGGAUAACCUACCUAUAAGACUGGGAUAACUUCGGGAAACCGGAGCUAAUACCGGAUGAUAUUUUGAACCGCAUGGUUCAAAGUUAAAAGACGGUCUUGCUGUCACUUAUAGAUGGAUCCGCGCUGCAUUAGCUAGUUGGUAAGGUAACGGCUUACCAAGGCAACGAUGCAUAGCCGACCUGAGAGGGUGAUCGGCCACACUGGAACUGAGACACGGUCCAGACUCCUACGGGAGGCAGCAGUAGGGAAUCUUCCGCAAUGGGCGAAAGCCUGACGGAGCAACGCCGCGUGAGUGAUGAAGGUCUUCGGAUCGUAAAACUCUGUUAUUAGGGAAGAACAUAUGUGUAAGUAACUGUGCACAUCUUGACGGUACCUAAUCAGAAAGCCACGGCUAACUACGUG